CGAACCGAGCGAACGUUGUUCGGAAUCACUGGGCUUAAAGGGCGCGUAGGCGGGCUGUCAAGUUUGGGGUGAAAUCCCGCGGCUCAACCGUGGAACUGCCUCAAAUACUGACGGUCUCGAGGGAGGUAGGGGCGAGCGGAACUGAUGGUGGAGCGGUGAAAUGCGUUGAUAUCAUCAGGAACUCCGGUGGCGAAGGCGGCUCGCUGGACCUUUUCUGACGCUGAGGCGCGAAAGCUAGGGGAGCAAACGGGAUUAGAUACCCCGGUAGUCCUAGCCCUAAACGUUGGGUACUAGGUAGUAGACUAGACAUGGGUUUACUGCCGAAGCAAAAGUGCUAAGUACCCCGCCUGGGGAGUAUGGUCGCAAGGCUG
rnacentral:rRNA from 1 species